UACGUAGGUGGCAAGCGUUAUCCGGAAUUAUUGGGCGUAAAGCGCGCGCAGGGGGUUUCUUAAGUCUGAUGUGAAAGCCCACGGCUCAACCGUGGAGGGUCAUUGGAAACUGGGAGACUUGAGUGCAGAAGAGGAAAGUGGAAUUCCAUGUGUAGCGGUGAAAUGCGUAGAGAUAUGGAGGAACACCAGUGGCGAAGGCGAUUUUCUGGUCUGUAACUGACACUGAGGCGCGAAAGCGUGGGGAGCAAACAGG
rnacentral:rRNA from 1 species